GACGAACGCUGGCGGCGUGCUUAACACAUGCAAGUCGAACGGAAAGGCCCUGCUUUUGUGGGGUUCUCGAGUGGCGAACGGGUGAGUAACACGUGAGUAACCUGCCCUUGACUUUGGGAUAACUUCAGGAAACUGGGGCUAAUACCGUAUAGGAGCUCCUGCUGCAUGGUGGGGGUUGGAUAGUUUCGGCGGUUGGGGAUGGACUCGCGGCUUAUCAGCUUGUUGGUGGGGUAGUGGCUUACCAAGGCUUGGACGGGUAGCCGGCCUGAGAGGGUGACCGGCGACAUUGGGACUGAGAUACGGCCCAGACUCCUACGGGAGGCAGCAGUGGGGAAUCUUGCACAAUGGGCGGAAGCCUGAUGCAGAAACGCCGCGUGCGGGAUGACGGCCUUCGGGUUGUAAACCGCUUUCGCCUGUGACGAAGCGUGAGUGACGGUAAUGGGUAAAGAAGCACCGGCUAACUACGUG
rnacentral:rRNA from 1 species